CCUACGGGUCGCAGCAGUGGGGAAUAUUGGACAAUGGGCGAAAGCCUGAUCCAGCCAUGCCGCGUGUGUGAAGAAGGCCUUCGGGUUGUAAAGCACUUUCAGUGGGGAAGAAAGCCUUGGGGCUAAUACCCUCGAGGAAGGACAUCACCCACAGAAGAAGCACCGGCUAACUCCGGGCCAGCAGCCGCGGUAAUACGGAGGGUGCGAGCGUUAAUCGGAAUUACUGGGCGUAAAGCGCGCGUAGGCGGUCUGAUAAGCCGGUUGUGAAAGCCCCGGGCUCAACCUGGGAACGGCAUCCGGAACUGUCAGGCUAGAGUGCAGGAGAGGAAGGUAGAAUUCCCGGUGUAGCGGUGAAAUGCGUAGAGAUCGGGAGGAAUACCAGUGGCGAAGGCGGCCUUCUGGACUGACACUGACGCUGAGGUGCGAAAGCGUGGGUAGCAAACAGGAUUAGAUACCCCUGUAGUC
rnacentral:rRNA from 1 species